UACAGAGGUCCCAAGCGUUGUUCGGAAUUACUGGGCGUAAAGCGCACGUAGGCGGCUUUGCAAGUUAGAGGUGAAAGCCCGGGGCUCAACUCCGGAAUUGCCUUUAAAACUGCAUCGCUAGAAUUGUGGAGAGGUAAGUGGAAUUCCGAGUGUAGAGGUGAAAUUCGUAGAUAUUCGGAAGAACACCAGUGGCGAAGGCGACUUACUGGACACAUAUUGACGCUGAGGUGCGAAAGCGUGGGGAGCAAACAGG
rnacentral:rRNA from 1 species